UAUGUGGCAAAGCCGAUGAGACACUGACGAUUCAUUGGUUUGACAUGGUUUCUGGCCAAACCAGCAGCAAACCAAACCAAGCCCCAUCGGAUUGGCGGAGGUUGGGCCAGGACUCCGACAGGGCAGACCAGGACACACCAGGACAGGACGGGAGCUGAAUGCGUUAAGAGGCCUGACGUGGUCAACAUGACAGCUGCACUUUGUGGUGAUUUAUGUGUAUGACUGCGAAUGCCAGGUGAAAAAAUGUUUUUUUUUAUCACUAUCUGACAGACAGCCUGUAAUGCGCGCAUAAUGACAGCAUACAAAGCGAUUUGUAACAAUUCGCGAAUAGCUUAAUGAUUGUACAACAAGGCUUCUCGAUCAUCAA
rnacentral:sRNA from 1 species